rnacentral:lncRNA from 1 species
GGUCACUGGAGUUGUGUAUGUAGGAGGAUUAUGGUUGCCUCUGCUGAGUCAUGCAGGUUGACAGGGAAGUGGGGAAAACCAGCCAUCACAGACCUCACCCAGCUCCCACACAAACCGAGGUGCCGGUCUCACUCCCACCAUGCCCCCUGCAACAGCUAUAAGUCUGUUUCCAGGUGGUGGGCAAGACAGGCUUGAAAAUUUGUCUCAGGCUACCCACUUGCCAGCUGUGAAAGAAAAGGGCUUGGUUAUUCUCCCGCCCAAGGAGUCUGCACACAGGAUUUGUACCUGCCCCCUUCACCGGAGUUCUGGCAAGGAAGCUCCUUGUCCCGUUCGAAUUGUUACGAAGUUCAGCUAGAGAUUUCCUUCUCCCUAUGGAGUUUUAGCCCCGCUCCUCUAGCCACCCUCCUGAUGGAUCCCUGUGGUGCCAGGCAGGAAUGGGCUGCUUGGGGACCCAGUGAGCUCCCAGGGCCUUUCUGCUGCUUCCUCUACCGUAUAUUUCACGUGGCUCCCUAAAUUGACUCAGCUCCAGUUCCUCAGGACUCUGCUUGUGUCCGGAAUUGGUGGGUUCUUGGUCUCAUUGACUUCAAGAAUGAAGCUGUGGACCCUCG